AUUCAUUCAUUCAAUUCAUUCAUCGCUCUCUCAGCUCUCUCUCCCAUUGCUGCUAUCUCUCUCUCUCUCUGUCUUGUUAUUUUACUCUCUUCUCUGUGAAUCUCCGAUCCUGCGAUUUCACCUCUCUGUGAAUCUCCGAUGGAUCAUACUCCUCCGAUUUCACUUGUUCUCUGUGAAUCUCCGAUGAUGGAUUAUACUCCUCCGAUUUCACUUGUUCUCUGUGAAUCUCCGAUGAUGGAUCAUACUCCUCCGAUUUCACCUCGCACUCCUCUCUGUGAAUCUCCGAUGAUGGAUCAUACUCCUCCGAUUUCACCUCGCACUCCGAUUUCAUCGCCAUCGUCGGUAACUCCUUCACCUCCUCGUGCACCCAAAAAAAGUAAUAAGCAACGAAUGAUAUAUUCUACCCCGAUGCUACGUUUAAUGGAUCGAAUCAUUCAAGAUGGUGAAUUGUGGUUGCUUGAGUAUCGAAGGAAUCAGAACACCGCUCAACUCAUCGAAAACGAGAGAAAGAGAAAAAUCAAAAUUUUGAUGUCACUUCGAUGAUGAUGAUGAUGAUGAUGAUGAUAGUAACCCAUUCUCUCUUAUUAUUCCUUUUCAGACAUGAUGACAUAUAUAGAUAGAUGCUUUCUAUAUCAAAAUGGGUAAGGAAAAAGGGUAAGAUUCCAUUGUUAUAUUUUGACAUAAUAUAUAGAUGCUUUCUAUAUGGAAAUAGGUGAGUUCAUUGCCACUUCCUCCUUCUCAGGCUCGUUAGUUUUCAAUUUCAUUUCUAUAAAGUUUUUAACUUUCUUCUUUUUAGGUUAUAAAAAUUGUGUCUUUGGUUAUGUGGUUUUAAUUUGGGUAAUUUCAUUUAUCUAUUUUUUGUUUCAGAAAAUGUGGCUUUUGUUUAUUUGUUCCAUUCUUUUUGUUGAUGAUUUAUGUUCUUGAUUGUGUUUUCGUGUUUGGACUUUUGACUAAUUUGUAGAUCGUCUAUAUAGAUUUCAUUUUAUGUUAAUUAACAGCCUUUCCAGAAUGUUUUUCAGUGACCCUUUUACCUUAUGAACAUGGAGCAAACUGAGGGAGGGAUGAGAAGUGAAAUUGAUGAUUUAAGUUUUUAACUUUCUCAGACAAGUUAAGGUUAUUAAAAAAAAUCUUUUUUUUUUUUGUUCUGUUUUGCAUGUGUGAAAAAUGAUGAUCUGUAUCAAGAGUUCUUCCUAGUUUUGAUUGUUUCAGCUUUGACUGAGUUUCUAUUUUCUUUUAUUAUGCAAUUGUGAUUAAUGAUAUGUUGGAGAGAAGAUAUAUUUUUUUGUGUUUGUUUGAAUCCAUAACUACCUUGAUUGUCAGAGUCAAUGCAGGUACUACAGCUUGUGUAGGAUAAAAAUCAGUCUCGUCUCUUCAGGUCAUUAGAGAAAGGAGCAGAAGAUACAAUAAGAGGCUGAGAGGGUAAUCAUAUCGGAAACAGAUCUUCCUCGUGACUUAGGUAUUUAGUUCUUCCUCAUGAUUUAGUCCUUUAAUUUGUAUUUCUUACUGGCAUUGAUUUAAUGUUUUUAGGUUGCUUCAGAUUUUAAACAAGUCUGGGAUACAUUAAAAAAAAAAUAUUAAGCUAGGGAAUAAUUCAAUUGGAGCCCAUGUGAUCUCUAUGCCCUCAAGUAUUAACAAGGAUUCUGUUCUCACUGAUAGGGUAAUAAUAUCGGAAACGAUUCUAGAUCUCGUUUUUGAAGUUUUCAAUGGGAUACAUUGCUUACAUAUGUUCUAGCUUCAAUAUCAUGUCCUUUUUCUGUUGUACUUACAUAUAAAACUUUAUGGUCUUUUGGUCUUUUUUGGUUGCAACUUCAAGCAUCUACUGAUCAAGAAUUGAACCAAGAAAUUCCUCAUUUUCAAUCUACCAUCGAAGAUUUUAUGCCGUGUUGUUAAGGUUCCGUUGCUGGCUGAGCAAGAAACUGAUGAGGCUUAUGCUUAUCUUGUUUUGCUUCCAGAAUCAGAUGUGAGAAUAUAUUAUCAAUCAUUGGCGUUUAGAAAUUGAAUUUUAAUUUCUAAAGCUUGAAAUCAUGUUAAUGGUGAUUUUCCGCAGCGAUAAUUUGUUUAUGAAAAUGAAUGUCCAUUGAGUUAUAUCUAGUGCUUGCCUUAUGAAGUUGGCGAAUAUUAUUUUUCUGGUGUUUGUCCUUUGUGUCAUUUUGGUCUGAAUGAAGUAUGAUGAUAGACUUCCAGGCAUACAUGAUACAUGUUUAAUGCUAUUUGAUGAACAUCAAUGAUCUGGUGUCCAAAUUGUUCUAGCGCUCAUUAUACUACUAGCUGUGCAGAUAUGUGACGCAGUUGUUGUGGCUGGAUUACUAAAUGCAACUCUUGUUAUUCCAAUAUUUCAUUUAAAUAGUGUAUGUAGAGAUUCAAGGUAUUUGCUUUUAUUAUGCUUGCUUUUAAAAUUUGUAACAUGGUUAUAGUCGUUGUUUAAUUUAUGCAUUUAUUUGCCUGUUAAAUCUCAAUGCUAUAUAACUCAGACUAAUUUUGAGUUUCUUCUCAACUGUAUCAUUCACAUGAUUGUAUUUGUUUUUAAUAAAUAUUUGUACCUGACACCGGCUGAUGGAAAAGCCUAAUGUUGUUGUAUUAAAUCUUUGAAAUGGAUUUCAAAUUUAAGGAUUGUAAUAUAUGCAUAGGAAGGAACUAAUCAAUAAUACCAUGAAAUUGAUAAGUUUUUCUGCGGUGACUGUUUUCUUAAUUAUUAUUUCUGCCCUGCAACUUAUCUCUUACAGAAAAUUGAUAAGUUUUGUAAAUGAAAACAGAUAUGUCCUGCAUACCUCAUCAGUUUGUGUUUGGUCUUUUGCUUUUUUGACAUAUCUAGCACCAUUCACUUCCAAUAGAAGACCACUUGAAUAUCCGAGUCAUCUUAAACCUACUUACGGAUUCAAGACUUAUAAGUAACAGUCACGGAUGUUGAACUGAGAGUCCAUUACAUUAGUUGCCACUGAGAGUCCUUAUGUCAAUGCCAUUACACUUUACUUGUAAUAACACUGUUUUUUAUUUAUAUGUAUGAUUUCAAGAUAUAAUGAUAAAUUGUUGACAUAAAGACUUUUUUUUUUAUUGAAUUAUUUGAGUUAUCUACUAGCAUAAGCUUAUGAGGGCGGGGUAUGACAUAUUCAUAAGCUAUUUUCAGCGUAUUUUCAUAAGCUCUCCGAGAUACUUAUGAAAACAACUUAUGGUUUAUAUGAAAACCAUUGAACUUUAUUUCAUUUUUUGUUAUUAUUAGUUCAAUCUCCUGCCACACAUCCAACUUUAGAAACUCGUGUUUUCUAUUUUUUAAAACUCUAUACUUUUUAUUGAGUGAUUGUUGUUUCUUUAAAAAGCUCAUAGUGUAUCUUCAUAAAUUUUAUUCCAUGACAGGAUAAAGAAAUUGGCCACUGGAGAUUCAGCUGCAUCUUGUCCUUUCCAUGGAUGCCUAUUCUUUCCGCAACUGGAUACAGAAUAUUACUUUUAUGCACAAUCAGGAAACGUAUGCAGGCGUGUGGAGCAUUGGAAUGUUCCAAAAUCGGCUUUGUUCAAGCAAAUUCUAUGGCCUGGCAAGGGAUUUGGCUUAAAAGAUUAUGUGACUAGGUGGUUGAAAAUUUUCCAGAGUCAUUAAAUUUACAAAGAUUUUGUGGCAAUGCCAACGUUUCGUUAUACACACCUAAACCUGUGUGAUAUUAGUAUGUACUAGGAGCUUGUGACAUAGUAGGAAUAUCCUGUAUAUGUGUGGUUUACCAAAUUAAUUAGGACUGUGAAUGUGGUUUUGUUACCAAA